rnacentral:rRNA from 1 species
CGGCGUACGGGUGCGUAACACGUGUGCAACCUGCCUUUAUCUGGGGGAUAGCCUUUCGAAAGGAAGAUUAAUACCCCAUAAUAUAUGAUACGGCAUCGUAUUAUAUUGAAAACUCCGGUGGAUAGAGAUGGGCACGCGCAAGAUUAGAUAGUUGGUGAGGUAACGGCUCACCAAGUCAGUGAUCUUUAGGGGGCCUGAGAGGGUGAUCCCCCACACUGGUACUGAGACACGGACCAG